rnacentral:rRNA from 1 species
GACGAACUGCCCAAACGUUGUUCGGAAUCACUGGGCUUAAAGGGCGCGUAGGCGGCAGAUCAAGUCAGGGGUGAAAUCCGGCAGCUCAACUGUCGAAGUGCCUUUGAUACUGAUUUGCUCGAGGGAUAUGAGGGGUCUGUGGAACUUCUGGUGGAGCGGUGAAAUGCGUUGAUAUCAGAAGGAACGCCGGUGGCGAAAGCGACGGACUGGAUAUCUUCUGACGCUGAGGCGCGAAAGCCAGGGGAGCAAACGGG